AGUUGUGGCCGCGACUGCCCGGGAGUGGCGCUUGCCGCGGUCCGGGCUUGCACCCCGCUGGGCAAAGUACCCGGGGCUGUCACACGGCGAGCUGAGCCCUGGGCCGGCGGAACAGCAAGCCAUUGGAGAGUCCUGAGCAGAGAAAGGACUGACCUGCCUCAUGUUUUAAAUCUGGCUGCCGUAUUGGAAGUAGAUUGGAGGAAAAAAAAGUGGAAGCCCUGGGACCCACCAUCAUGAACAAUCGGGGAGAAGACAAGAGGCCAGCAAAGGAAUGAACACAGGGACGCAUGAGACAUUUGGUGCCGAAGACCUGGGUCAGCGGGACUCCUUUGGGAGACCAGUCCCCCAUCCUCACCCUCACUCUGUGAAGAGAUCCACCUACGACCUUGGGUCCUCAGACCAACCAGCCUAAGGAACAUCUCACCUAUUUUAAAUCGGGUAAGCGGCCUCUUUCUACUCUCUUCUCCAACCUCUCUCACUAUCCCUCAACCUCUUUUCCUUUCAAUCUUGGCACCACCCUUCAGUCUCUCCCUUCUCUUAAUUUCAAUUCCUUUCAUUUUCUGGUAGAGACAAAGGAGACACAUUUUAUCUGUGGACCCAAAACUCCGGCACAGGUCACAGACUCAGGAACACAGCCUUCCCUUGGUGUUUAAU
rnacentral:lncRNA from 10 species